UUAAGCGACUAAGCGUACACGGUGGAUGCCCUGGCAGUCAGAGGCGAUGAAGGACGUGCUAAUCUGCGAUAAGCGUCGGUAAGGUGAUAUGAACCGUUAUAACCGGCGAUUUCCGAAUGGGGAAACCCAGUGUGUUUCGACACACUAUCAUUAACUGAAUCCAUAGGUUAAUGAGGCGAACCGGGGGAACUGAAACAUCUAAGUACCCCGAGGAAAAGAAAUCAACCGAGAUUCCCCCAGUAGCGGCGAGCGAACGGGGAGGAGCCCAGAGCCUGAAUCAGUGUGUGUGUUAGUGGAAGCGUCUGGAAAGGCGCGCGAUACAGGGUGACAGCCCCGUACACAAAAAUGCACAUGCUGUGAGCUCGAUGAGUAGGGCGGGACACGUGGUAUCCUGUCUGAAUAUGGGGGGACCAUCCUCCAAGGCUAAAUACUCCUGACUGACCGAUAGUGAACCAGUACCGUGAGGGAAAGGCGAAAAGAACCCCGGCGAGGGGAGUGAAAAAGAACCUGAAACCGUGUACGUACAAGCAGUGGGAGCACAGAGCAAUCUGUGUGACUGCGUACCUUUUGUAUAAUGGGUCAGCGACUUAUAUUCUGUAGCAAGGUUAACCGAAUAGGGGAGCCGAAGGGAAACCGAGUCUUAACUGGGCGUUAAGUUGCAGGGUAUAGACCCGAAACCCGGUGAUCUAGCCAUGGGCAGGUUGAAGGUUGGGUAACACUAACUGGAGGACCGAACCGACUAAUGUUGAAAAAUUAGCGGAUGACUUGUGGCUGGGGGUGAAAGGCCAAUCAAACCGGGAGAUAGCUGGUUCUCCCCGAAAGCUAUUUAGGUAGCGCCUCGUGAAUUCAUCUCCGGGGGUAGAGCACUGUUUCGGCAAGGGGGUCAUCCCGACUUACCAACCCGAUGCAAACUGCGAAUACCGGAGAAUGUUAUCACGGGAGACACACGGCGGGUGCUAACGUCCGUCGUGAAGAGGGAAACAACCCAGACCGCCAGCUAAGGUCCCAAAGUCAUGGUUAAGUGGGAAACGAUGUGGGAAGGCCCAGACAGCCAGGAUGUUGGCUUAGAAGCAGCCAUCAUUUAAAGAAAGCGUAAUAGCUCACUGGUCGAGUCGGCCUGCGCGGAAGAUGUAACGGGGCUAAACCAUGCACCGAAGCUGCGGCAGCGACGCUGAUGCGUUGUUGGGUAGGGGAGCGUUCUGUAAGCCUGUGAAGGUGUGCUGUGAGGCAUGCUGGAGGUAUCAGAAGUGCGAAUGCUGACAUAAGUAACGAUAAAGCGGGUGAAAAGCCCGCUCGCCGGAAGACCAAGGGUUCCUGUCCAACGUUAAUCGGGGCAGGGUGAGUCGACCCCUAAGGCGAGGCCGAAAGGCGUAGUCGAUGGGAAACAGGUUAAUAUUCCUGUACUUGGUGUUACUGCGAAGGGGGGACGGAGAAGGCUAUGUUGGCCGGGCGACGGUUGUCCCGGUUUAAGCGUGUAGGCUGGUUUUCCAGGCAAAUCCGGAAAACUAAGGCUGAGGCGUGAUGACGAGGCACUACGGUGCUGAAGCAACAAAUGCCCUGCUUCCAGGAAAAGCCUCUAAGCAUCAGGUAACAUCAAAUCGUACCCCAAACCGACACAGGUGGUCAGGUAGAGAAUACCAAGGCGCUUGAGAGAACUCGGGUGAAGGAACUAGGCAAAAUGGUGCCGUAACUUCGGGAGAAGGCACGCUGAUAUGUAGGUGAAGUCCCUCGCGGAUGGAGCUGAAAUCAGUCGAAGAUACCAGCUGGCUGCAACUGUUUAUUAAAAACACAGCACUGUGCAAACACGAAAGUGGACGUAUACGGUGUGACGCCUGCCCGGUGCCGGAAGGUUAAUUGAUGGGGUCAGCGCAAGCGAAGCUCUUGAUCGAAGCCCCGGUAAACGGCGGCCGUAACUAUAACGGUCCUAAGGUAGCGAAAUUCCUUGUCGGGUAAGUUCCGACCUGCACGAAUGGCGUAAUGAUGGCCAGGCUGUCUCCACCCGAGACUCAGUGAAAUUGAACUCGCUGUGAAGAUGCAGUGUACCCGCGGCAAGACGGAAAGACCCCGUGAACCUUUACUAUAGCUUGACACUGAACAUUGAGCCUUGAUGUGUAGGAUAGGUGGGAGGCUUUGAAGUGUGGACGCCAGUCUGCAUGGAGCCGACCUUGAAAUACCACCCUUUAAUGUUUGAUGUUCUAACGUUGACCCGUAAUCCGGGUUGCGGACAGUGUCUGGUGGGUAGUUUGACUGGGGCGGUCUCCUCCUAAAGAGUAACGGAGGAGCACGAAGGUUGGCUAAUCCUGGUCGGACAUCAGGAGGUUAGUGCAAUGGCAUAAGCCAGCUUGACUGCGAGCGUGACGGCGCGAGCAGGUGCGAAAGCAGGUCAUAGUGAUCCGGUGGUUCUGAAUGGAAGGGCCAUCGCUCAACGGAUAAAAGGUACUCCGGGGAUAACAGGCUGAUACCGCCCAAGAGUUCAUAUCGACGGCGGUGUUUGGCACCUCGAUGUCGGCUCAUCACAUCCUGGGGCUGAAGUAGGUCCCAAGGGUAUGGCUGUUCGCCAUUUAAAGUGGUACGCGAGCUGGGUUUAGAACGUCGUGAGACAGUUCGGUCCCUAUCUGCCGUGGGCGCUGGAGAACUGAGGGGGGCUGCUCCUAGUACGAGAGGACCGGAGUGGACGCAUCACUGGUGUUCGGGUUGUCAUGCCAAUGGCACUGCCCGGUAGCUAAAUGCGGAAGAGAUAAGUGCUGAAAGCAUCUAAGCACGAAACUUGCCCCGAGAUGAGUUCUCCCUGACUCCUUGAGAGUCCUGAAGGAACGUUGAAGACGACGACGUUGAUAGGCCGGAUGUGUAAGCGCAGCGAUGCGUUGAGCUAACCGGUACUAAUGAACCGUGAGGCUUAACCU
rnacentral:rRNA from 2 species